rnacentral:rRNA from 1 species
UACGUAGGGGGCAAGCGUUGUCCGGAUUCAUUGGGCGUAAAGAGCGUGUAGGCGGCCAGGUAGGUCGGUUGUGAAAACUGGAGGCUCAACCUUCAGAGGUCGACCGAAACCAUCUGGCUAGAGUCCGGGAGAGGAGAGUGGAAUUCCGGGUGUAGCGGUGGAAUGCGUAGAGAUCCGGAAGAACACCGGUGGCGAAGGCGGCUCGCUGGGCAGUGGCUGACGCUGAGGCGCGACAGCGUGGGGAGCAAACAGG